rnacentral:rRNA from 1 species
GGUUAAGUGACUAAGCGUACACGGUGGAUGCCUUGGCAGUCAGAGGCGAUGAAAGACGUAGUAACUUGCGAUAAGCCCAGAUUAGGUAGUAACAACCAUUUGAGUCUGGGAUUUCUGAAUGGGGAAACCCACUUACAUAAGUAAGUAUCAUUAACUGAAUACAUAGGUUAAUGAGGCGAACCGGGGGAACUGAAACAUCUAAGUACCCCGAGGAAAAGAAAUCAACCGAGAUUCCGAAAGUAGCGGCGAGCGAAAUUGGACUAGCCCUUAAGCUUUACACGCGUUAGACGAACGGUCUGGAAAGUCCGACGAUACAGGGUGAUAGUCCCGUAGUUGACGACGUGUGUUCAGUGAAAUCGAGUAGGGCGGGACACGUGAUAUCCUGUCUGAAUAUGGGGGGACCAUCCUCCAAGGCUAAAUACUACUGACUGACCGAUAGUGAACCAGUACCGUGAGGGAAAGGCGAAAAGAACCCCUGUGAGGGGAGUGAAAUAGAACCUGAAACCGUGUACGUACAAGCAGUAGGAGCAGGCUUUGUCCUGUGACUGCGUACCUUUUGUAUAAUGGGUCAGCGACUUAUAUUCAGUGGCAAGGUUAACCAUCUAGGGGAGCCGUAGGGAAACCGAGUCUUAACUGGGCGUUCAGUCUCUGGAUAUAGACCCGAAACCAGGUGAUCUAGCCAUGGGCAGGUUGAAGGUUGAGUAACAUCAACUGGAGGACCGAACCGACUAAUGUUGAAAAAUUAGCGGAUGACUUGUGGCUAGGGGUGAAAGGCCAAUCAAACCUGGAGAUAGCUGGUUCUCCCCGAAAGCUAUUUAGGUAGCGCCUCGGACGAAUACUACUGGGGGUAGAGCACUGUUAAGGCUAGGGGGUCAUCCCGACUUACCAACCCUUUGCAAACUCCGAAUACCAGUAAGUACUAUCCGGGAGACACACGGCGGGUGCUAACGUCCGUCGUGGAGAGGGAAACAACCCAGACCGCCAGCUAAGGUCCCAAAUUACUACUAAGUGGGAAACGAUGUGGGAAGGCUCAGACAGCCAGGAUGUUGGCUUAGAAGCAGCCAUCAUUUAAAGAAAGCGUAAUAGCUCACUGGUCGAGUCGGCCUGCGCGGAAGAUGUAACGGGGCUAAGUAGUAAACCGAAGCUGCGGCAAUAUACUUUUGUAUAUUGGGUAGGGGAGCGUUCUGUAAGCGGUUGAAGGUGUGUGGUAACGCAUGCUGGACGUAUCAGAAGUGCGAAUGCUGACAUGAGUAACGAUAAAGGGGGUGAAAAACCUCCUCGCCGGAAGACCAAGGGUUCCUGUCCAACGUUAAUCGGGGCAGGGUAAGUCGACCCCUAAGGCGAGGCCGAAAGGCGUAGUCGAUGGGAAACGGGUUAAUAUUCCCGUACUUCUUACAAUUGCGAUGGGGGGGACGGAGAAGGCUAGGUGGGCCUGGCGACGGUUGUCCAGGUUCAAGUGCGUAGGCUUAAGAGUUAGGUAAAUCCGGCUCUUUUUAAGGCUGAGGCACGACGUCGAGCAUCUACGGAUGUGAAGUCAUUGAUGCCAUGCUUCCAGGAAAAGCCUCUAAGCUUCAGAUUGUAAGGAAUCGUACCCCAAACCGACACAGGUGGUCGGGUAGAGAAUACCAAGGCGCUUGAGAGAACUCGGGUGAAGGAACUAGGCAAAAUGGUACCGUAACUUCGGGAGAAGGUACGCUCUUGAUGGUGAAGUCCCUUGCGGAUGGAGCUGACGAGAGUCGCAGAUACCAGGUGGCUGCAACUGUUUAUUAAAAACACAGCACUGUGCAAAAUCGUAAGAUGACGUAUACGGUGUGACGCCUGCCCGGUGCCGGAAGGUUAAUUGAUGGGGUUAGACUUCGGUCGAAGCUCUUGAUCGAAGCCCCGGUAAACGGCGGCCGUAACUAUAACGGUCCUAAGGUAGCGAAAUUCCUUGUCGGGUAAGUUCCGACCUGCACGAAUGGCGUAAUGAUGGCCACGCUGUCUCCACCCGAGACUCAGUGAAAUUGAAAUCGCUGUGAAGAUGCAGUGUACCCGCGGCUAGACGGAAAGACCCCGUGAACCUUUACUACAGCUUGGCACUGAACAUUGACCCUACAUGUGUAGGAUAGGUGGGAGGCUUUGAAGCACGUACGCCAGUAUGUGUGGAGCCGUCCUUGAAAUACCACCCUUGUAGUGUUGAUGUUCUAACGUCGACCCCUUAUCGGGGUUGCGGACAGUGCCUGGUGGGUAGUUUGACUGGGGCGGUCUCCUCCCAAAGAGUAACGGAGGAGCACGAAGGUGGGCUAAUCACGGUUGGACAUCGUGAGGUUAGUGCAAUGGCAUAAGCCCGCUUGACUGCGAGAAUGACAAUUCGAGCAGGUGCGAAAGCAGGUCAUAGUGAUCCGGUGGUUCUGAAUGGAAGGGCCAUCGCUCAACGGAUAAAAGGUACUCCGGGGAUAACAGGCUGAUACCGCCCAAGAGUUCAUAUCGACGGCGGUGUUUGGCACCUCGAUGUCGGCUCAUCACAUCCUGGGGCUGAAGUCGGUCCCAAGGGUAUGGCUGUUCGCCAUUUAAAGUGGUACGCGAGCUGGGUUUAGAACGUCGUGAGACAGUUCGGUCCCUAUCUGCCGUGGGCGUUGGAAGAUUGAAGGGGGCUGCUCCUAGUACGAGAGGACCGGAGUGGACGAACCUCUGGUGUUCGGGUUGUGUCGCCAGACGCAUUGCCCGGUAGCUAAGUUCGGAAUCGAUAACCGCUGAAAGCAUCUAAGCGGGAAGCGAGCCCUGAGAUGAGUCUUCCCUGAUACUUUAAGUAUCCUAAAGGGUUGUCGGAGACUACGACGUUGAUAGGUCAGGUGUGUAAGUGCUGUGAGGCAUUGAGCUAACUGAUACUAAUUGCCCGUGAGGCUUAACCAU